rnacentral:snRNA from 1 species
UUGUAUAAAGUCAUAUAC